rnacentral:sRNA from 1 species
ACAAACAAUUAUUUAUUCCAUAUAUUCUCUUGUCAUCAACUACACAAUCACAUCAUGAUAUGCUAGUAAUUCAAGUCAACACUUUAAUUCUUUUCCUU